rnacentral:rRNA from 1 species
UACGUAGGGCGCAAGCGUUGUCCGGAAUUAUUGGGCGUAAAGAGCUCGUAGGCGGCCAGUUGCGUCUGCUGUGAAAUCCCGGGGCUCAACCCCGGGCGUGCAGUGGAUACGGGCUGGCUAGAGGCAGGCAGGGGAGAACGGAAUUCCCGGUGUAGCGGUGAAAUGCGCAGAUAUCGGGAGGAACACCGGUGGCGAAGGCGGUUCUCUGGGCCUGUACUGACGCUGAGGAGCGAAAGCGUGGGGAGCAAACAGG